GACAGAGGCCUCGAGCGUUAGGCGGAAUCCCUGGGCUUAAAGCGUGUGUAGGCGGGCCCGUAAGUGUCUUGUGAAAUCCCACGGCUCAACCGUGGAACUGCUGGGCAUACUGCGGGUCUUGGGCCAACUAGGGGCAGCCGGAACAAGCGGUGGAGCGGUGAAAUGCGUAGAUAUCGCUUGGAACGCCGAAGGUGAAAACAGGCUGCUGGGGUUGCGCCGACGCUGAGACACGAAAGCCAGGGGAGCAAACGGG
rnacentral:rRNA from 1 species